CAGGGAUUGCCCUAGUAACGGCGAGUGAAGCGGCAACAGCUCAAAUUUGAAAUCUGGCGUCUUUGGCGUCCGAGUUGUAAUUUGCAGAGGGCGCUUUGGCAUUGGCAGCGGUCCAAGUUCCUUGGAACAGGACGUCACAGAGGGUGAGAAUCCCGUACGUGGUCGCUAGCCUUUACCGUGUAAAGCCCCUUCGACGAGUCGAGUUGUUUGGGAAUGCAGCUCUAAAUGGGAGGUAAAUUUCUUCUAAAGCUAAAUACUGGCCAGAGACCGAUAGCGCACAAGUAGAGUGAUCGAAAGAUGAAAAGCACUUUGGAAAGAGAGUUAAAAAGCACGUGAAAUUGUUGAAAGGGAAGCGCUUGCAGCCAGACUUGCCUGUAGUUGCUCAUCCGGGUUUUUACCCGGUGCACUCUUCUAUAGGCAGGCCAGCAUCAGUUUGGGCGGUUGGAUAAAGGUCUCUGUCAUGUACCUCUCUUCGGGGAGAACUUAUAGGGGAGACGACAUGCAACCAGCCUGGACUGAGGUCCGCGCAUCUGCUAGGAUGCUGGCGUAAUGGCUGUAAGCGGCCCGUCUUGAAACACGGACCAAGGAGUCUAACAUCUAUGCGAGUGUUUGGGUGUCAAGCCCGAGCGCGUAAUGAAAGUGAACGGAGGUGGGAACCUUUCGGGGUGCACCAUCGACCGAUCCUGAUGUCUUCGGAUGGAUUUGAGUAAGAGCAUAGCUGUUGGGACCCGAAAGAUGGUGAACUAUGCUUGAAUAGGGUGAAGCCAGAGGAAACUCUGGUGGAGGCUCGCAGCGGUUCUGACGUGCAAAUCGAUCGUCAAAUUUGGGCAUAGGGGCGAAAGACUAAUCG
rnacentral:rRNA from 2 species